GCGAACGCUGGCGGCAGGCCUAACACAUGCAAGUCGAACGAACUCUUCGGAGUUAGUGGCGGACGGGUGAGUAACACGUGGGAACGUGCCUUUAGGUUCGGAAUAACUCGGGGAAACUUGUGCUAAUACCGAAUGUGCCCUUCGGGGGAAAGAUUUAUCGCCUUUAGAGCGGCCCGCGUCUGAUUAGCUAGUUGGUGAGGUAAAGGCUCACCAAGGCGACGAUCAGUAGCUGGUCUGAGAGGAUGAUCAGCCACAUUGGGACUGAGACACGGCCCAAACUCCUACGGGAGGCAGCAGUGGGGAAUCUUGCGCAAUGGGCGAAAGCCUGACGCAGCCAUGCCGCGUGAAUGAUGAAGGUCUUAGGAUUGUAAAAUUCUUUCACCGGGGACGAUAAUGACGGUACCCGGAGAAGAAGCCCCGGCUAACUUCGUG
rnacentral:rRNA from 1 species